rnacentral:rRNA from 1 species
CAGUAGCCGCGGUAAUACGUAGGUGGCAAGCGUUGUCCGGAAUUAUUGGGCGUAAGGGGCUCGCAGGCGGUUUCUUAAGUCUGAUGUGAAAGCCCCCGGCUCAACCGGGGAGGGUCAUUGGAAACUGGGAAACUUGAGUGCAGAAGAGGAGAGUGGAAUUCCACGUGUAGCGGUGAAAUGCGUAGAGAUGUGGAGGAACACCAGUGGCGAAGGCGACUCUCUGGUCUGUAACUGACGCUGAGGAGCGAAAGCGUGGGGAGCGAACAGGAUUAGAUACCCCCGUAGUCCCUGUCUCUUAUAC